rnacentral:rRNA from 1 species
AUACGUAGGGUGCGAGCGUUGUCCGGAAUUACUGGGCGUAAAGAGCUCGUAGGUGGUUUGUCGCGUCGUCUGUGAAAUUCCGGGGCUUAACUCCGGGCGUGCAGGCGAUACGGGCAUAACUUGAGUACUGUAGGGGAGACUGGAAUUCCUGGUGUAGCGGUGAAAUGCGCAGAUAUCAGGAGGAACACCGGUGGCGAAGGCGGGUCUCUGGGCAGUAACUGACGCUGAGGAGCGAAAGCAUGGGUAGCGAACAGGAUUAGAUACCCUGGUAGUCCAUGCCGUAAACGGUGGGGGCUAGGUGUAGGGGUCUUCCACGACUUCUGUGCCGUAGCUAACGCAUUAAGCGCCCCGCCUGGGGAGUACGGCCGCAAGGCUAAAACUCAAAUGAAUUGACGGGG